rnacentral:tRNA from 1 species
CGUUGCGCGUGGUCGGCCAGGAUGGCGGCGGUAGCAGCGUCGGCCACGUCGCCGCGCUGCUGGCGGUGACCGUGGCGUUCUUUGCGCUGGCGCACCGUC